rnacentral:misc_RNA from 1 species
GAUGAAGAACGUAGCGAAAUGCGAUACUUGGUGCGAAUUGCAGAAUCCCGUGAACCAUCGAGUCUUUGAACGCAAGUUGCGCCCGAAGCCAUUAGGCCGAGGGCACGCCUGCCUGGGCGUCACACGUCGUUGCCCCCCCAUCUAAUCCUUCGGGAUUGCGGGGGGCGGAUGAUGGCCUCCCGUGCGCCUCGUCGCGCGGUUGGCAUAAAUGCCAAGUCCUCGGCGACGCACGCCACGACAAUCGGUGGUUGCGAAACCUCGGUUGCCCGUCGUGUGCGGUCGUCGCGCAUCGAGGGCUCGAAAAAAUUGCCGGGCUCCGGCUCGACUUUCAACGCGACCCCAGGUCAGGCGGGGUUACCCGCUGAAUUUAAGCAUAUCAAUAAGCGGAGGA